rnacentral:tRNA from 1 species
GCCCUGGUGGCACAAACAGUUAAGCAUUUGUCUGCUAACCAAAAGGUUGGUGUUUCAAACCCACCCAGCGGCU